rnacentral:sRNA from 1 species
GUUGGGCAUGGUAGGGCAUUCCUGUAAUCCCAGCAACUCAGGAGGCUGAGACAGGAGGAUCACAAGUUUGAGGCCAGCCUCAGCCACAUAGCAAGACCCAGUCUCAA